CUUCUGGGUCCCUCUGCUCUUUGACUGAGGGCUCCACACGGGGUUCAGCUCCUUGCUCUUUGGCAGUAACACCCGCUCUGCAUCUUGCUGGGCUCAGACCUAGCCUCUCUUUCCUUGCAUUCCCCUCCCAGCGGUCUCCUUUCGAAAACAAGUCCCCUUGCUUCUCCUUUUCCCAUUAUCCCUUUCUUUCCAUCUCCACUGCCGUCGUCCUAGCCUGUCCUAAUCCCCUCACAGUGAUGACAGCCUCCACACCUGCACCUCCUCCCCUCCUCGCCUGUAGCCUGUGCCCCACACCACGUCCACGCUAAUCAGCCAACACCCCACUUUGCCUGUGAGCCUCCUCGUUGCCUACAGGAGAAAAAGUUCAAGGCCCCCAACCUUCCUCUCAGCCAGAAAUACCGACUGACGGCCUACUGUAUACAAAGCACUCCUCAGAAAUCUGCUCCAGCCGAAGGGAUGUGAUCACAAUGGCGACCAAGUGUCCUUGCAGGUUGCAGCAGGCACUUGAUACACAUUAUGUCAUUGUCUCUUCAGGACACCCCUGAGAGACCUACUACAUGCCAAGGACUGUGCUAGUCACUGGGGCUACAAUAGUGAGCAAAAGCAGAGGUCUUCCCUCCAGCACUUGCAGUUCCUGACCAUUCACACCUUCCUGGCUCUGCACCUUCCGCCGUGCGUUCCCUCUGGCUAGAUGGCCUGCCCUAGGCCUCUUUACCCGGAUCCCAGCCAGCCCUCAAGCUCCUCUCGAGACUCGCCUCCACCACCCGCCGUGAUUGCUCUCGUUUCUGAGUUCAUUCAACAUUUGCUAUCUGGACAACUCAAGUGUCUGGACAAGUCAUUUGGCACAUGUCAGAUGUUCUUGCAUCUUUAACUUUCCCAUUUAUACAUGGAUCCUGUCACCUUAACUUGACUGUUCACCUCACCACCCAGGAAACAUUUUCAUUCUCCUCAAGAAGCAUUUACCAAACGCCUACUAUUUUAGCAAUGGAAAAAGUGACGAACCUUUGUGGAGUCUCUCUCAGUUAACAAAGAGCUUUCAUAAAUGUUUUAUCAUCUGAUUGUCACAAAAUG
rnacentral:lncRNA from 1 species